rnacentral:rRNA from 1 species
UACGAAGGGGGCUAGCGUUGCUCGGAAUCACUGGGCGUAAAGGGUGCGUAGGCGGGUAUUUAAGUCAGAGGUGAAAUCCUGGAGCUCAACUCCAGAACUGCCUUUGAUACUGAGUAUCUUGAGUACGGGAGAGGUGAGUGGAACUGCGAGUGUAGAGGUGAAAUUCGUAGAUAUUCGCAAGAACACCAGUGGCGAAGGCGGCUCACUGGCCCGUUACUGACGCUGAGGCACGAAGGCCAGGGGAGCAAACGGG